GACGGGGGAUGCAAGUGUUAUCCGGAAUAAUUGGGCGUAAAGCGUCUGUAGGUGGUUUACCAAGUCUGUUGUUAAAAAUCAGGGCUUAACCCUGAUCCGGCAACAGAAACUAGUAGGCUGGAGUACGGUAGGGGCAGAGGGAAUUCUCGGUGUAGUGGUGAAAUACGUAGAUAUCGAGAAGAACACCAAUAGCGAAAGCACUCUGCUGGGCCGAAACUGACAUUGAGAGACGAAAGCUAGGGGAGCGAAGUGGG
rnacentral:rRNA from 1 species